UACGAAGGGGGCUAGCGUUGUUCGGAAUUACUGGGCGUAAAGCGCACGUAGGCGGGUUUGUAAGUAGGGGGUGAAAUCCCAGGGCUCAACCCUGGAACUGCCUUCUAGACUGCAAGCCUGGAGGUCAGGAGAGGCGAGUGGAAUACCGAGUGUAGAGGUGAAAUUCGUAGAUAUUCGGUGGAACACCAGUGGCGAAGGCGACUCGCUGGACUGAUACUGACGCUGAGGUGCGAAAGCGUGGGGAGCAAACAGG
rnacentral:rRNA from 2 species